UUAAGUUCAGCGGGUAUUCCUACCUGAUCCGAGGUCAACCACAAAAAAUUGGGGGUUUAGCGGCUGGGAGUUAUAGCACCUAACAAAAGCGAGAAAAAAAUUACUACGCUCAGAGGAUACUACAAAUCCGCCGUUGUAUUUCAGGAACUACAACUAUAAAGAAGUAGAUUCCCAACACUAAGCUAGGCUUAAGGGUUGAAAUGACGCUCGAACAGGCAUGCCCACUAGAAUACUAAUGGGCGCAAUGUGCGUUCAAAGAUUCGAUGAUUCACUGAAUUCUGCAAUUCACAUUACUUAUCGCAUUUCGCUGCGUUCUUCAUCGAUGCCAGAACCAAGAGAUCCGUUGUUGAAAGUUUUAACUAUUAUAUAGUACUCGGACAGCAAUGAUUCAAGAGUUUAGAUCCUCUGGCGAAGUCGCGCACCGGAUACCGCGGCCUCCGGCAACUCCAACGCCAAAGCAACAAAGUUAGGUAUUCAAAGGGUUGAGAAUAGGGCCGCGAAGCCCGGUAUUCUUUAAUGAUCCUU
rnacentral:misc_RNA from 1 species